GGGUGUAGGCGUGGGUGCAUGGGGGCUCCUCAUUAGGCACCGAUCCUAUCUUAAAUAGGAUUCCUUGUUAGAUAAGGGAAGGAUUAAUUCAAAGCUGAUUUGAAUUAGGACUCCUAGACUAUUGGAUCAUAAAAAAUUAUCUAUAAAUAGAAAGAAUCUCUAACCAUCAAAGUAUAACAAUUGGAUUGUGUGCUAAGGUGAGAAAGAGA
rnacentral:lncRNA from 1 species